rnacentral:rRNA from 1 species
GUGGGGAAUAUUGGACAAUGGGCGAAAGCCUGAUCCAGCCAUGCCGCGUGUGUGAAGAAGGUCUUCGGAUUGUAAAGCACUUUAAGUUGGGAGGAAGGGUAGUAACCUAAUACGUUGCUACUUUGACGUUACCGACAGAAUAAGCACCGGCUAACUUCGUGCCAGCAGCCGCGGUAAUACGAAGGGUGCAAGUGUUAAUCGGAAUUACUGGGCGUAAAGCGCGCGUAGGUGUUUCAGUAAGUUGGAAGUGAAAUCGCCGGGCUCAACCUGGGAACUGCGUUCAAAACUGAUGAGAUAGAGUGCGGUAGAGGGUGGUGGAAUUUCCUGUGUAGCGGUGAAAUGCGUAGAUAUAGGAAGGAACACCAGUGGCGAAGGCGACCACCUGGACUGAUACUGACACUGAGGUGCGAAAGCGUGGGGAGCAAACAGGAUUAGAAACCCGGGUAGUCC